GGAGCUUCGGAUUUGAAAGACUUUUCUGUCUGACGUGCAGUAGGUAGAGUCUUUUGUUGUUGAACUGAUGUCUUAUUUGCUGUAGCAGUGAGUGGAAUAAAAGGAGGAGGACCUGUUCCAGAUGACUGUACUCUUUGGAAGUUUUCUGAUGUCUAUCAAAAUGUAGAUAUACAUGUAAAAUUGGCUUAAAACCAUUAUUAAUGAAGUUUAUUUCAGUCAAAGCACUCAAUUAUUUUUGCCCGUAGUAGGGCUUAAGUUAGCUUGAAACUUAAGUCCCAACAUAACUAGGUACAUACAUGUACAUGUAGAACUAUAAAAGCUUAGUUUAGGAAAGAAGGAAGAUGUGCUUCUAUCACAUUAUGCUUACCAAGUUCACUAAUAGAUAAUAUUUAAAAAAUAAACAAUAGACAUAAAAAUAAACAAGAGAAGCAUAGUUGUGGAGGAGGUUUUUAUGGAAGACACUGUCACAAGCUUUUUGAUGUCAACAGAAUGCUAAAAUGUUGAAAUCUUGUGUAAGUUGAUGACUUCAUUAAAAAUAAUUUAAAUAAUUAUCAAUUAAAACUGGUAAAAUUAUAAAAUUAAUAUUGAAUUGAUGAUGUCAUCUUCCGGUAAGAAAUCAAAACUCUGGUAGCCCUCACGCAGCCAAACAGUAUGGAGAACACUGCACUGGUUUCUUUUCCUCCAAGUGACUGUGUAGUUAAUGAUGAAGAAGAAAUCCAAAGCGAGAAUGAUAGUCAUUCAUCCAAUAGCAGGGAGCCUCUUAUCAGGGAGCCUCUCGUUCCAGACCCUCUUGUCGUUCCUCAGCCUCUUGUCACUACUCAGCCUCAGCUCACGCGUGACUUUCAUUUCAUUUAUCGUCGUAAUCAAACUCGCUACGCGAGACUAAUCAAACUCCAAGUGACAACUUUUUUAUGCUAACUAUUAUUCAACUCUUUUGCUGUUCUCUAAUUGGAUGCUUGGCCCUCUUUUGUAUUAUUCCAGCUCUGUGCUUUGUUAUCAAAGCAAGGAAGGCUGAAAUGGAUGGUGACAUCAUUACAAUGUAUUCAAGGCGACAGCUUGCCCUCAUUUUUAAUUUUAUUGGCUUCUUUGUUGGCAUCAUAAAUAUCUUUAUAAAUAUUUAUUUCAUUCUAAAUAUUAUAGCACUUACUUACUAACAUAAACUAGUGCUUUAUGUCACACUAAACUGAUGGUAAUGCUGUCAAAUUUUGUUAUUAUUAGUUAAUAAAUAUUUAUACAUUACAAA